GUGGCUGCAGUUGGCAAGAUGGCGCCGGUGGGGGUGGAGAAGAAGCUGCUGCUAGGUCCCAACGGGCCCGCGGUGGCGGCCGCCGGCGACCUGACCAGUGAGGAGGAGGAAGGCCAGAGCCUAUGGUCCUCCAUUCUGAGCGAAGUGUCCACCCGCGCCAGGUCCAAGCUGCCGUCCGGCAAGAACAUCCUGGUCUUCGGUGAAGAUGGUUCUGGUAAAACAACCCUCAUGACUAAACUACAAGGAGCUGAGCAUGGCAAAAAAGGAAGAGGCCUAGAAUAUCUCUACCUCAGUGUCCAUGAUGAGGACCGAGAUGAUCACACGCGCUGCAACGUGUGGAUUCUGGAUGGAGACUUGUACCACAAAGGCCUGCUGAAAUUUGCAGUUUCUGCUGAAUCCUUGCCAGAGACCCUCGUCAUUUUUGUUGCAGACAUGUCUAGACCUUGGACUGUGAUGGAAUCUCUGCAGAAAUGGGCUAGUGUUUUACGUGAGCACAUUGAUAAAAUGAAAAUUCCACCAGAAAAAAUGAGGGAGCUGGAACGGAAGUUUGUGAAAGAUUUUCAAGACUAUAUGGAACCUGAAGAAGGUUGUCAAGGUUCCCCACAGAGAAGAGGCCCUCUGACCUCAGGCUCCGAUGAAGAAAAUGUUGCCCUGCCUCUGGGUGACAAUGUGCUGACUCAUAACCUGGGGAUCCCGGUGUUGGUGGUGUGCACAAAGUGUGAUGCGGUGAGUGUCCUGGAGAAGGAGCACGAUUACAGGGAUGAGCAUUUGGACUUUAUCCAGUCACACCUGCGGAGGUUCUGCCUUCAGUAUGGAGCUGCCUUGAUUUACACAUCAGUGAAAGAAGAGAAAAACCUCGACUUGUUGUAUAAGUAUAUUGUUCAUAAAACAUACGGUUUCCACUUCACCACACCUGCCUUAGUUGUGGAAAAGGAUGCCGUUUUUAUACCUGCAGGCUGGGACAAUGAAAAGAAAAUAGCUAUUUUACAUGAAAAUUUUACAACCGUGAAGCCGGAAGAUGCAUAUGAAGACUUUAUUGUGAAACCUCCCGUGAGAAAGCUGGUCCACGACAAAGAGUUGGCAGCAGAAGAUGAGCAGGUGUUCCUAAUGAAGCAACAGUCACUCCUUGCCAAGCAACCAGCCACUCCCACGAGAGCUUCUGAAUCUCCUGCAAGAGGACCCUCUGGCUCUCCAAGGACCCAGGGUCGGGGAGGGCCAGCCAGUGUGCCUAGCUCCUCCCCAGGCACGUCAGUAAAAAAGCCGGACCCAAACAUCAAAAAUAAUGCAGCAAGUGAAGGGGUGUUGGCCAGCUUCUUCAACAGUCUGUUGAGUAAAAAGACAGGCUCUCCUGGAAGUCCUGGUGCUGGUGGGGUGCAGAGCACAGCCAAGAAGUCAGAGUCAAGGCCUCCUCCUCCCUGAAGCUCCCUACUUGUCACAUACACACCUCUGUGGCAGCCACCCACCUGUCCUUCCAUGUAAGCAGGACAAAAGACUGUGUUGUCAAAUGUUCAGGAAGAACUGGAUAGAAUGACUCGAAAGCCAGACUCUAUGGUAACAAACUCUUCAACAGAAAAUGAAGCCUGAACCUCCUUAAAAAGUGCAUAUGUCGAAUGACCAAAUAACUAUGUAUAUUGAUCUGCUAAGACCAGGAUUUUUCUGAUAUGGCACAUGCUAUCAGUUUUUUGGGGCAGGGGAGAUGAACUUUAAAAAAAAAAAAAAAACUUCAUUGGCUUGUCCGAGUGUGAAAUGCACAUUUAGGAAGGUUACAUGUCAGACCCUUUGUUAAGGAUAACCCUUGGACUCUGGGGCAUGUGGCUCUUUUGUGGGAGGCAAGCACAUCUGGGCUUCUUGUGGAGGGGAAGGUAGAGUGAAAGAAAGAGGGCCCACUUUCUAACAGGGUGGAGCAAAUGAGACCAAGAAAUCAUUGGUAAGAUGAUGGUUAGUCUGACCAGUUUCAUGUUAGUAAAUUCACUUGUUCUUGGGAAGCAGAUUAAGUAGCAGAAAGUCCAGGAAAGAAAGACCAGAAGGAGUAAUGAGACAAGUGAUGGUGGGGAAGCUGAAUGUUGAGGGAGGUGGAGGAAGGAGGAGAUGAGCAGUGUCAGUAAAUACUGUGCAUUCAGUAGAAGUUGAAGAAUCAUUGUUAGAAGCAUUUCCAAACAAAACACUAAGCAAAAUGGGAAUUAGGCUUAUUUUGAAUGCAUCUUUAACUUACGAAAGAUGUACUAAUUGUGGGGGUGCCUGAGUCAGGCGGAGCUGACCCAGGGGUGGGAACGAUGGCAGCUGCCCAGGACCCAUGUGCUUGGCCCAGGCUAUGUCCUCGUGAGAGGUACUGGGGUCCACGGAUAUGUGUUGUGGGGCAGACAGUCACUGUGGGAUGUCUUCAAAGUCAGCAGUUACAGAAUUAGUUUACUUUGAAUUUUGUUGUCUAAAUAGCUCCUGCUUUAUUUUUUAAAUUAAAUUUUUUGUUUUUACUAUCACAGGCUGGCCUAACUAAUACAAAAUAGGUGAUGAACCUCUGGUUUUACCAUAAUGCAAUGUGCCACGGAAAGUUUGGGGGAGGUUUUUAAUGUAAUUGCACUCUGGUUAAUUGGCUCGUACCAAGCCCUGCCUUAUGACUUGUGGAAAGCUUCAAGGAGUUCCACUGAUGCAAAAGGGUCUUUUCCUAGCUUCCUGGUCUGAUCAGUGCUAUGAGAUGGACAGAUAAGUGUGAAUGUUUUAUACAGAAAAUGGAAAUGAUACAUUUCUCUUGUUAGGUGUUUUCAUAAAAUGUAGCAUUUUUUUUCUUAUGGAAAUAAGAGUUUCAGGUGUCUCCCCACCUAGGGCAAAUUCAUGCACAUUGUCAUGUUAUACCACCAUUCUGGAAAUGAUUUCUGUGGAUUUGAAAUUGCACUUUUAAUUUUAUAUAUGACAGCAUUUAAAUGCAAACACUACCAUGAAUUUAAUGUAUAAAAUGUUGUCAAACCAAGGGAAAAAACCACAGUUCACCAUGUGGAGUUUACUUUUUUUAUAUGAAUGUUUGUUGUACUGUGUCUAAGCAUAACUUCCCUAAUGUCAUUACUUUUACAUACCAGAUUUGACUGACCACUAAUGUAGUACUGGGGAUAACUUAAUAUCCUAUGUUGUGUCAAGACUCUUUGAAGACUUUCUUGAAUUGCUUUCGUAAAGGUCUGAACACUGUUAAGGAGAAAGCUGAGUAUCAACUUGCCUUUCUGAUAGAAAUGUUUCUUGUGCCAGUUUUAUUGUUGAGAUAUACUAUUUUUUUCCUUUUUUAAUUCAGUUUUUUAAAAAAACAAAUGUAUUGUGGCUUCCAGUUACCAGGUUGUCUAGGUAAUGACAGUAAACUGACUGUAGAAUGAUAAUUGUGGUAUAGUGACCAAUAGAUGCCAAACAGCUUGUGGCCUCACUAAAGGUGGGGUCGCUUAGUCCCCGGGAGUAAAAUGAGUGACCUCAGAAACAAGAAUUCCUGGAAAGGCACAUGCCGAAGAGGAAUAUGGUAUAAUUUUAAAUUUUAAUGCAAAAUUUUAAUUUGUCUUUAUUUUUUAUCAUUUGAACUGAUAAGCACUUUUUGUGUCAAUAUAAAAUAUACUAAAACUGAUGAAAUGCUAAGACAUGUCUUGUGAAGGAAGGUUUCUUGGAGACCACUUUUAUUUACUCAUGAGAAGUGGAAGCUCCUAGUAUCAGAAGAAGCUGAUACAUAGUGUCAUGUGCUCAGUGGUUGCCAAAGUCUACCAACUUUGGGGAGCUGCAGGGUUCUUUUUGGGAGGUGGGAGGAAGGGAGAUGAGUUUUGUUAUUUUGGGGUUUUCAAGCAUUGGAACCAAAGGCCAAAUAAUAAACAGCCUUUAGUUUUUAAAGUAAAAUUCAUUUUAUUUGCAGAGUACACUUGUAUGGUAGACUGUUAAAGACAAUUUUAUGACUAUUUAUGCACAUUAUAAUGGUUACAUCUGCUUUUUGUCUUUAAAAUAAAAAAAAAAAUCAGAGAAAAGCCCACCUUUGAAUACGUGGCUGAAGAUAACAGCCAAGAAUUGGUCUUUCCUAAAAAUGCAACAGAUAAUGCUGCUAGAUUGUUAUUUUGUUUGCACUUUUUUUUGAUUGGCAUUUUAAAAUCGGUAUUUAAACUGAAGACAUUGUCAUGUUUUAUUAAUUUAACAAAGUUGAAAGUGACUGCUCUGUACAUCAUGACCUUAACAAUGUUAAUGCUGUAAGUGAAAGUUCACUGUCGUCUGUAUACUAAAUUUAUUGGUGUUUCUAACUUAAAAGUAAGACUGCAGAUUAUCCCCCACCAGCCUUAGUCCAGGGGUGUGGCUCUGUCCGGGUGCAGUAUGCAGUCAUGUGGAACCUUGCUUUCUAGUCCUGGGAAAAAAAGAUGUCUCUAAUUACUGGCUUCAAUAAACACGAAUCCAGACUGCUUACAA